rnacentral:tRNA from 1 species
CGGGGCGUAGCGCAGCCUGGUAGCGCAUCUGGUUUGGGACCAGAGGGUCGUAGGUUCGAAUCCUAUCGCUCCGACCA